rnacentral:sRNA from 1 species
GACAGCGUUUGUGAGCAGACAACUGGUCUGACCAAAAUUUAUGAGGUGGGAAUUUCCUCGU